GGGUGGAAUGGGAAUGGAUCAAUCUAUAUAGAACUCAAUCCUUACUCUCCUCUAUAGAUUCAAUUUUUCAUUCCGAUUCCGAUUCCGAUUCUGAUUCCGAUCACGAAUCAAACGCUUCGGGGGAUUUAGCCAUUCCGAUUCCAAUUCCAAGCCAUUCCGAUUCUCAUUUCCAUUCUGCUUUCAGUUACGAACCAAACACCCCCUGAGUUUUAUAUAGAUUGAGCCAUUCCCAUACC
rnacentral:lncRNA from 1 species